GGGAGGAGAGAGGCCUGCCUAGCUAAUUAUGGCCGGGUCGGGGCGUACGAUGCUUUUCAGCUAGCCUCCUCAGGCUUGUACCAGAGCAAUCUCCUGCCCUGUAGCUCUCGAGUCUCAACUUCAGCACCCAGCACCCACCCCCUUCCUCUCUCUUGAGCUAGCUCUCUCUUGCUUCCAUGAUUUGCCAUGGUGUUAUAAAGCCCCUCCCCUGUCCCUCCUAGCUAGCCAUCUACUGCCCUACUAGCUCACAUAGCUGCCAUGCACAUGGAAACUCCAUCUGCACAGCUAGAAUAGGAAAGCAAUUCCAGUCAUCAUGGAUCGAUGCAAGUGAUUAGCUAGCUAGAGAUCCAAAUUAAGCUUUCAGGAAGCUAGUGGAGGAUUCCAAAGGGAUCGCAUUGAUCCAUCUCUCCGUAACCGGCGCUCAAGAUCGAUGGAUCAGUGCAAUCCCUCUGGAAUUCUCCGCUUGCCUCCGCCUCCGGCCGUCCAUCUCUUCCGUCCGACCUGGCCAUGCCAGGAGGUAAUUAAACAGAGAUGGAUCAUCCACAAGAAUCACAAGGUAGUCCAAGACCCAGGUGUGUGAAUGCAUACAACCAAAGCUAGCUAGGAAUGGCAAAAAAGAGACGGCCAAAUGAGGAAGACUUGUUUGUGACUGAAAAACUGCCAGGAUAUUAUUGGUGCUAAUUUCAGGCUUGAUUGUUUAGGCGUCAAGUGCAUGUUUUUGAUACCGUCAAAUAUAUUAGAAAUGUAACAUGCAAGUUAAAGGAUAACGACACUUCUCGAUUUUGCAUAAACUUUACUUGAAAUGAUAACGAUUGCUUUAUGGCAUAGUCUCUUCCAAUUUGUUCCUAGAUUUAUUUGUUAGUAGAUGAUCCGGGCCACUAGUUUGUAGUUUCAUUAAUAUGCAUGUACUCCCUUCGUUUCUUUUUAGUCUGCAUAUAAGGUUUGGUCAAAGUCAAGUUUUGUAAAGUUUGACUAACUUUAUAUUAAAAAAACAUAAAUAUUGACAAUAUGAAAUCAAUAUUCUCGGAUGCACCGCGAAAUGUAUUUUCAUACUAUAUAGUUUUAAUAUUGUACUUCCUCCGUUCCUAAAUACUUGUCUUUUUAAGCAUUUCAACAAAUGACUACAUACGGAGCAAAAUGAGUGAAUCUACAUUUUAAAAUAUGUCUACAUACAUCCGUAUGUAGUAGUUAUUUGAAAUGUCUAGAAAGACAAAUAUUUAGGAACGGAGGAAGUAGAUGUUAUAUAUAUUUUUAUAUAAAUUUGGUCAAACUUUGUGUAGUUUGACUUUGACCAAAUCUUAUAUGCGGAGUACAAAAAAACGGAGGGAGUAUCUUGUAUUCCGCCUUUUCCGAUUUCUUGGAACUUGAACUUGGUUAUGGCUUGUGCAUCUCAGUUAUGCAGAGGUCGGAUGUAAUGCUUAAAUUAUUGAAGCAAUAAAACACCCUUUAUCAAAAAAAUGCAUUUCCGAAGUGAGAAUUCUAGACAUAUGGUCAUAAAUGGUUGGCACCGGAAAUUAUGACAGCUUCCAUUCCUUUAUAUAAGGCACUACUUCGUAGGGCUAAUCUCACAGUGAAUACUGAAUAUGUUGUCAUCGGCAUGUAAAGAAAUUGAAUAUCGUUGUAACGUGCUGAUUCUUGAUCUGCGUGGCAAUUGUAUGUUAUGUUUUUGUUCUAUCUUUUAGUAUUUUGGUUGUGUGCAUUCUUGAGGUCUAAACAGUACUAUUGACUUCUUCCAGAAACCGAAUGUAUUUUAUACCGAACUCCCCACAUAACAUUUAUUUCUCUUUCUGAACCUAGCUAGAAAUCAAAGUUCUUUCCUCAACUUCUCUACACAUACAACUGUAACUAAGCAAAACAAAGCAAUAAAGGGUGGGUGCCAAAAAACCAUAGCAAGCGACCCAAAGCAAAUCCUGGCGACAUAUUUGUGCACAUGCUAAGAUAUCAUGUGUAUGUUUGGACAUCUCUUUUAGAAACAUCGAGCUGCCUUAACCAUCUAAGAUAGGUUCUCUAUUGAUGCAAUUAACUAUUUUGUUCAAUUAAAUUGCACUAAUGCUAUUAUGAACUACUUGGUUAAAAAGUUGUUGGGAUGGGAAGGGAUAAUUCACUUCCUUUUUACGGGCUGCCCAAUUGUUGGGAUGGGAAGGGUUACUUGUUUUCUUGAAUGUAAAUAUGGCGGACCAAAGGCCAACCUAAACUUUGCACAACAACACUUCAUUAACUUUAGGUAGAGUUAAUUUAGUCCUCAAUUUGGUGGGGACAUGUGGUAUUUUUGCAUUAAUUAGUUCAGAAAAACCUUGCAUGAAUUUUGAAUUGGAGCGGUAAUAGUUAGAAAUGGAUUAAUAUUUUUUAGUAAAGAUAAUUGCAUAAGCUUCUAUUGUAUUUACUUUUCUCUAUUGGUUCAUCACGGCUUCACCAACUAAUUCUAGACAAACAGAUUCAAAACAUGUAGCCUAAGUAUGCUUCCUUACAGUGUAUCAAAGGCACUACGGUAUUAUCGCAAAAAAUACUAUGAUAUUAGCAUGAGUGUUAAUUUUAGGCCCUCGUUUAACAUCAAAUGCUUGUUUGGAAUAAUGACAAAUACCCAAGAGGAUAUGAAAUAAAGGAUAGUGUAUCAUGAUACUAGCCAUAGUAGAGAGGAACUUACACUAGUAACAUGCACAUGACCCUAGGCUAUGUUACUACCUCCAUAGUGGGUAGUAACAUAAGUGUGAUGUCAUGCAAAACUUCAUUUAUUAGGUUAUGGACUCAUAUUGUUUUGGGAUAUGUGAUGUUACAGUGACAUAUCAUGUCACCACAAACCUCCCUUUCUUCAUUAAUAACUUGACACAUCAGCUCUUUUGCCUACGUGGCAUCUAUGUUACUAGUUAAGUUACUCCCACUAUGACUAGUUAAGAUUACUUAUACUGGAGAGUAUUAGUAUCAUGCAUAUGAUACUAGUGUAUGAUACUAUCUUCACAAUGCAUAAUAUCAUAGAGUGGUAUCACAGAUGAUUUUAUUUAUUGCCAUGCAAGACACAUAGUAGCAUAACAUUUAUUUAAUACAUUAUCUACCUAUGUUAUUCUAACCCUUUUUUUAAUAGUAUGCCACAUUAGCAUGUUUGCUAGUCCCAAAUGCAUGAUAUCGGCUAAGAUACCACCACUAUAACAAAUUAACGGAUAACUAAGCAUCUUGAUUUUGCAUAAACUUUAUCCAAAAGGAUAAUGAUUGCUUUGUUGCACAUUCUUAUGUUUCCUUGCUAAAUUUAUUAGGAGACGGCCAACUUGCUAGUAGUUUAAUUAAUGACUACACAUGCAUUUCUGGUUGAAAAAUCUUGAUAUCGCAUCAGUCGAAUCCUGAAAUUAUGACGGCACACAUGCAUUGUUCCCUUUGUACUACGAGAGAUGCUUCAGAAAUUCCGAUCACACAUUUAGGAUGCUGUCAAGUGUCAACAUCGAGGAAUGAAGUUGAAUUCCGCUA